CGAUGGAUAAAUAGAUAUCUAUUUAUCCAUCGAAAAAAAAAUGGAUCCGAUGGAUCCAAAGGAUGCGAUGGAUAAAUAGAUAUCUAUUUAUCCAUC